rnacentral:rRNA from 1 species
UUCGAUUCUAGCUCAGGAUGAACGCUAGCGGCAGGCUUAACACAUGCAAGUCGAGGGGUAACGCGGUGUAGCAAUACACUGGCGACGACCGGCGCACGGGUGCGUAACGCGUAUGCAACCUACCUUGUACAGGGGGAUAACGGAGUGAAAAUUCCACUAAUAUCCCAUGGUGUUGUUGGUUCGCAUGGACCGACAACUAAAGCUUCGGUGGUACAAGAUGGGCAUGCGUGACAUUAGGUAGUUGGCGGGCAACGGCCCACCAAGCCGACGAUGUCUAGGGGAGCUGAGAGGCUUAUCCCCCACACUGGUACUGAGACACGGACCAGACUCCUACGGGAGGCAGCAGUGAGGAAUAUUGGUCAAUGGACGGAAGUCUGAACCAGCCAUGCCGCGUGGAGGAAGAAAGGUCCUAUGGGUUGUAAACUCCUUUUGUUCCAGAGUAAUAAGGGGCAUGCGUGCUCCGAUGAGAGUAUGGGACGAAUAAGCAUCGGCUAACUCCGUGCCAGCAGCUGC